GUUUCCGCGUCACAGCAAGGCAAGGCAAAGUUAUCUGUACAGCACAAUUCACACACAGGGCAAUUCAUAGUGCUUUACAUAUAUGGAAAAGAGACAACUUAAAAACACACAAAACAUAAUCAAUAAAACAUAAAUAAUAAUCAAUUUAAAAAAAGCAAAAGAGAAGAGUCCAUUAUUACCCCUAGAUUUCUAACCUGACAUUUAGCUUUAAAAGUAAGAGAUUCCUGAUGACUGCUGACACUUUCUCUUGGUUUUUGUGGGCCACAGACAAUGACUUCAGUCUGGUCUGAGUUUAGUUG